rnacentral:lncRNA from 1 species
CUAGAUGUCCUCUCACCAGACUGCCCAGUGAAGGUGCUGUCACUUUGAUGAAUUAUCAAGGCUUUGUAGUGGGUCUUCUACUGGACAAAGGACAAACUGGAGACUCCCUGGAUCAAAUGUGUUGAAAAUGUUAUAGUGCUGUCAGGAAGUGCUGUUCUGGAAUACAGAAUGUGGCUGCCGUGAGUGGAGUGUGACUAUGAGAUAGUCGCCUGACUGGAGACAAUGAAGCCUCAGGCCAAGGAUGCUCCCUCCUACUCAGCCCUGUUUAGUGGGAUUUUUCAGCCCACUGUAAAGCCUACUGCUGCCUGUAAAGCCACCUAAGUGCAUCACUUGCUGGUGUUCACCAUGAUAACAACAAUUUAUGGGGACAGAAUAUGUUUCUAGAGCUGCUGGUGCCACUGCUGAUGUUACUGGGUUCCCUGAA